rnacentral:rRNA from 1 species
CCUACGGGUGGCUGCAGUGGGGAAUAUUGGACAAUGGGGGCAACCUUGAUCCAGCCAUGCCGCGUGUGUGAAGAAGGCCCUCGGGUUGUAAAGCACUUUCAGUGAGGAAGAACGCCUGGUGGUUAAUACCCAUCAGGAAAGACAUCACUCACAGAAGAAGCACCGGCUAACUCCGUGCCAGCAGCCGCGGUAAUACGGAGGGUGCGAGCGUUAAUCGGAAUUACUGGGCGUAAAGCGCGCGUAGGUGGCUUGAUAAGCCGGUUGUGAAAGCCCCGGGCUCAACCUGGGAACGGCAUCCGGAACUGUCAAGCUAGAGUGCAGGAGAGGAAGGUAGAAUUCCCGGUGUAGCGGUGAAAUGCGUAGAGAUCGGGAGGAAUACCAGUGGCGAAGGCGGCCUUCUGGACUGACACUGACACUGAGGUGCGAAAGCGUGGGUAGCAAACAGGAUUAGAUACCCUAGUAGUC